rnacentral:rRNA from 1 species
GUACGAACGCUGGCGGCGUGCUUAACACAUGCAAGUCGAACGGAAAGGCCCUUCGGGGUACUCGAGUGGCGAACGGGUGAGUAACACGUGGGUGAUCUGCCCUGCACUUUGGGAUAAGCCUGGGAAACUGGGUCUAAUACCGGAUAGGACCACGCGCUUCAUGGCGUGUGGUGGAAAGCUUUUGCGGUGUGGGAUGGGCCCGCGGCCUAUCAGCUUGUUGGUGGGGUAAUGGCCUACCAAGGCGACAACGGGUAGCCGGCCUGAGAGGGUGACCGGCCACACUGGGACUGAGAUACGGCCCAGACUCCUACGGGAGGCAGCAGUGGGGAAUAUUGCACAAUGGGCGCAAGCCUGAUGCAGCGACGCCGCGUGAGGGAUGACGGCCUUCGGGUUGUAAACCUCUUUCAAUAGGGACGAAGCGCAAGUGACGGUACCUAUAGAAGAAGGACCGGCCAACUACGUGC